rnacentral:rRNA from 1 species
ACGGGUGAGUAACGCGUGGGUAAUCUACCUUUGUCUGGGGGAUAACCUACCGAAAGGUGGGCUAAUACCGCAUAAUGUGAUCGAGUUGCGACUUGAUCACCAAAGAUGGCCUCUCCAUGGAAGCUAUCAGGUAAAGAUGAGCUCGCGUCCCAUUAGCUAGUUGGUAAGGUAAAAGCUUACCAAGGCGACGAUGGGUAGCUGGUCUGAGAGGAUGGCCAGCCACACUGGAACUGGAACACGGUCCAGACUCCUACGGGAGGCAGCAGUGAGGAAUCUUGCGCAAUGGGGGCAACCCUGACGCAGCAACGCCGCGUGAGUGAAGAAGGCCUUCGGGUCGUAAAGCUCUGUCAAGUGGGAAGAAUAGCUUUAAGGUGAAUAAUCUUAAGGUAUGACGGUACCACUGGAGGAAGCACCGGCUAACUCCGUGCCAGCAGCCGCGGUAAUACGGAGGGUGCAAGCGUUAUUCGGAAUUAUUGGGCGUAAAGGGCGUGUAGGCGGCCAGACAAGUCAGAUGUGAAAGCCCGGGGCUCAACCCCGGAAGUGCAUUUGAAACUGUUUGGCUUGAGUGCGGGAGAGGAAAGCG